rnacentral:rRNA from 1 species
GACGAGGGGUCCAAGCGUUGUUCGGAAUCAUUGGGCGUAAAGCGGGUGUAGGCGGCUUUGUAAGUCAGGAGUGAAAUCCCCGAGCUUAACUUGGGAAGUGCUUUUGAUACUGCAGAGCUUGAAUGUGGGAGAGGGUAGUGGAAUUCCAGGUGUAGUGGUGAAAUACGUAGAUAUCUGGAGGAACACCGGUGGCGAAGGCGGCUACCUGGCCCAACAUUGACGCUGAGACCCGAAAGCAUGGGGAUCAAACAGG